rnacentral:ncRNA from 2 species
GCAGUAUAGUCGGGGGGCCUAAUGGCUGAGAUCGCAUCGCGAGACCCGUUGAACCUGAUUCAGUUAACACUGGCGUAGGGAACUAUCUGUCUUACCUG